GAUGAACGCUGGCGGCGUGCCUAAUACAUGCAAGUCGAGCGAACGGACGAGAAGCUUGCUUCUCUGAUGUUAGCGGCGGACGGGUGAGUAACACGUGGAUAACCUACCUAUAAGACUGGGAUAACUUCGGGAAACCGUAGCUAAUACCGGAUAAUAUUUUGAACCGCAUGGUUCAAAAGUGAAAGACGGUCUUGCUGUCACUUAUAGAUGGAUCCGCGCUGCAUUAGCUAGUUGGUAAGGUAACGGCUUACCAAGGCAACGAUGCAUAGCCGACCUGAGAGGGUGAUCGGCCACACUGGAACUGAGACACGGUCCAGACUCCUACGGGAGGCAGCAGUAGGGAAUCUUCCGCAAUGGGCGAAAGCCUGACGGAGCAACGCCGCGUGAGUGAUGAAGGUCUUCGGAUCGUAAAACUCUGUUAUUAGGGAAGAACAUAUGUGUAAGUAACUGUGCACAUCUUGACGGUACCUAAUCAGAAAGCCACGGCUAACUACGUGCCAGCAGCCGCGGUAAUACGUAGGUGGCAAGCGUUAUCCGGAAUUAUUGGGCGUAAAGCGCGCGUAGGCGGUUUUUUAAGUCUGAUGUGAAAGCCCACGGCUCAACCGUGGAGGGUCAUUGGAAACUGGAAAACUUGAGUGCAGAAGAGGAAAGUGGAAUUCCAUGUGUAGCGGUGAAAUGCGCAGAGAUAUGGAGGAACACCAGUGGCGAAGGCGACUUUCUGGUCUGUAACUGACGCUGAUGUGCGAAAGCGUGGGGAUCAAACAGGAUUAGAUACCCUGGUAGUCCACGCCGUAAACGAUGAGUGCUAAGUGUUAGGGGGUUUCCGCCCCUUAGUGCUGCAGCUAACGCAUUAAGCACUCCGCCUGGGGAGUACGACCGCAAGGUUGAAACUCAAAGGAAUUGACGGGGACCCGCACAAGCGGUGGAGCAUGUGGUUUGAUUCGAAGCAACGCGAAGAACCUUACCAAAUCUUGACAUCCUUUGACAACUCUAGAGAUAGAGCCUUCCCCUUCGGGGGACAAAGUGACAGGUGGUGCAUGGUUGUCGUCAGCUCGUGUCGUGAGAUGUUGGGUUAAGUCCCGCAACGAGCGCAACCCUUAAGCUUAGUUGCCAUCAUUAAGUUGGGCACUCUAAGUUGACUGCCGGUGACAAACCGGAGGAAGGUGGGGAUGACGUCAAAUCAUCAUGCCCCUUAUGAUUUGGGCUACACACGUGCUACAAUGGACAAUACAAAGGGCAGCGAAACCGCGAGGUCAAGCAAAUCCCAUAAAGUUGUUCUCAGUUCGGAUUGUAGUCUGCAACUCGACUACAUGAAGCUGGAAUCGCUAGUAAUCGUAGAUCAGCAUGCUACGGUGAAUACGUUCCCGGGUCU
rnacentral:rRNA from 1 species